rnacentral:lncRNA from 1 species
ACACCCUCAGAUUGACGUGCGCACGCGCACCGGUUACCUUCAGGAGCGCCGAAGAAGGAAAGAGGAACACAGAGCCCGAGGCGAAGCUUAAGUGCUUACGCUUUUUCGGGAGGUACAGACCCAGCUCUGUGAGAGCCGGGGAAAAGGAAGAGAGGCAGAGAAGGAAUGGCAGCAAGUACAAGGUGAUGAAUGACUGCACUGGCCAUUGCUUCAUGAAGAGCCAUGAAAAAACAGAGCCAGUUUCUCAGCAGGUGACUGGCUGCUCAGUCACAAAGGACCUCUUUGGACAGGCUUUAUGGAAAUACUGUGCCUAGGACAGUCCCUCAAAGGCAGGAGGGAGAGAAAAUGUAUCUGCAAGCUCACUUUGUCUUCUUUCUUCUGCUGGUCAAAAUUUGCUGGCUGGGGCAGUUAAUGCCCUCAGACAUCCGAGUUGUGUCACCUGGUCCCUUUGGUAGCCACUGGGGAAGCCAGAUCUAGGCAUGUGGCCUGAUGGCUCCUGCGGUGGAACCACAUGCUCACACUUGGUCAGUCACCACUGGGAUGGCCUGGGCAGGGCAGGCCGAGUGGCUGGGAGACAGCUGAGCCUAAGAUAUCUAAGCAAGCACCUGUGAUGUAUGCACUGCAGUGUCCAAAUGUGAAAAAGCAAUAAAGGGAGAUAGAAGCAUAUUUUUUUCUGGAGAGAAGGAGGAAACCACCAGGAGAAUACAAACAGAAAAAAGACAUGCUCAUCAUGCCCUGCAAACUCCUAUGAACUGGAACUACAGCAGCUGUUCUGCCAGGGACAGGUUCUUCUCUAAAGUUCCAGCUCUCUGGAGGGAGAAAGCCCUGACUUUGGAUGGAGUUGAGCUCUGUUGCCCAGGCUGGAGUGCAGUGGCACCAUCUCAGCUGACUGUGACCUCCGCCUCCUGGGUUCAAGUGAUUCUCCUGCCUCAGCCUCCCGAGUAGCUGGGACUACAGGUGCACACCACCAUGACCGGCUAAUUUUUGUAUUUUUAGUAGAGACAGGGUUUUGCCAUGAUGGCCAGGUUGGUCUCAAACUCCUAACCUCAAGUGAUCCACCAUCCUCAGCCUCCCAAAGUGCUGGGAUUACAGGCGUGAGCCACUGCGCCCAGCCUACUUGAAAUUUUUUCUUUCUUUUUUUUUGAAACAGAGAUUUGCUCCUGUUGCCCAGGCUGAAGUGCAAUGGCGUGAUCUCGACCCCCUGCAACCUCUGCCUCCUGGGUUCAAGUGAUUCUCCUGCCUCAGCCUCCCAAGUAGCUGGGAUUACAGGUGCCCACCACCGUGCCUGGCUGAUUUUUGUAUUUUUAGUAGAGAUGGGGUUUCAUCAUGUUGGCCAGGCUGGUCUUGAACUCCAGACCUCAGGUGAUCCACCUGCCUUGGCCUCCCAAAGUGCUGGGAUUGCAGGCAUGACCCACCAUGCCCGGACCUGCUUGAAUUUUUAUGAUGAGCAUGUUGGCAGAUCACGACUGCCAGCUCCAUGACAGCAAGAAACUUGUAUGACUUUUUCAUGAUGGAUGUUCAUCUGUGCCAUCUGUAAAUAUUUAAUAAAUAUUUGUGGAAUACCUGAAUCCAAAAGUGAAUGGAAUGAUAAAGAGGGAAAGGAUUAUGACAUCUACUACAGCAUUUGGUACAGACCCACUUGUCUGCAGUACUAUUAAGAGAUGACAUGGACUUCAAGGAUCAAACAGGGGAGAAAAAAACUUAAAAGAAAAACAAGUCUCCAUCAAAGGUAAUAACCACAAUGAGAACAAUACAUAGCUAUGUGCUUACAGGUCUUAGUUCACAUUCCCCUCAUUAAAAUUAUAGCUCAAGAAAUAAAGGGCUGUUUAAUGACUUAGGUAUAUAAAUAUACUUCAUUUGUAUAUUUUUUACUUACUAAAAUCUAUCCAAACUGGUAUUACCUCAAACCAUAAUCUUCUACUAUAUUUUAUAAUUUUACUUUCAAUUGCCGUGUAUUUUUCCCACUGAUGUUCACAAAUUCAAAGGAAACAUCAGCCAUGUACUAAAUAAAAUAUGAAUUGAAUUGACAAAUAGAACUAUAAAUUUAAUUCAUGCACAUGUAAAAUUUAGACCAAAGAAUAAAAAUAUCUAUUAAAAAUACAGCCAAGCAUGGUGACUCACACCUGUAAUCCCAGCACUUUGGGAGGCC